AUUAGGAAAUAAGGCUGUUUUUAAGAACUGUGUGUUAAUGAAUGGAAUAGAGAUCUUCUGGUCAAAAGCUGUAGUCUUCUUCUGAUGUCAGUGCUCGGCUGUGAUGUCAGCAGCUUCCGUUGUGCAGGAAUCUUUCUGUUUACUCGGGUCUCCUCUCAGGCUGACUUCAGAAAGCCAGGUACAACCAUCUGAAAACCUCUUCCUGGUGGGAGAAUUCUACCAAGCACCUUCUGGACUCCACAGCUGUUCCUGGCAUCCAAACUGCAAACUGCCCUGGGGUUGGAGGAAAUCUGAUUAUGCUGGAGUGGAAAUGCCUAGAGUGGAGAAAUAAAACUUGCCAGUUUUCCUGACAGCUGGGCCCAACGUGAUUUUUACUUGAUGAGUAUGGGAAUGGCUGCUGGAAGAAGCAACAAGAGAAUUACAAAGGCUGACCACUCCAGAAGCAAAGGAAGGCCCUAACCACUUGACUAAGGAUGGAAGAACACCAUGAAACAAUAGAGAAAAAACACACAGCAAGCUAAGUAUAUUGAAAUCUGGCACAAAAUGCUUCACAAACUGAAAAAAUGGGCAAAGAGACCAAAUCCUCUAAAUAAGGUACUGUAAACCAAGUUGAAUUUUCUCCUUGACCUUCAUGGUGUCGGGGAAUGUAGGAAUAAUUGGUUGUGAAAUAUCAUGAUGUUGAACUGGAGCUCUGACUUUUAAACUAGGUGGGGGAAAAAAUCUAUAGUGCCAGCAUUGUAGUACAGCAGGUUAAGCUGUCACUGGCAAUGCUGGCACCCCAUAUCACCCAUAUAGGCACACUUGCUUAAGACCCAGCUGCUCCACUUCCUAUUCAACUUCCUGUUAAUAUACUUGGGAAGGCAGCCAAAUAUGGCCAUUGGGACCCCUCCACACAUGUAGAAGACCCAAAUGAAAUUCCUGGUUCCUGUCUUCAGCUUGGUCUAGAACUGAGUGUUGCAGGCAUCUGAGGAGUGUCCCAGUGAAUAGAAAAAUCUCCUUCACUGUCCCUGUUCAUUCUGCCAUUUGAAUAAAUAAAAAAGGAGAAGAAUUUACCCA
rnacentral:lncRNA from 1 species